rnacentral:rRNA from 1 species
UACGAAGGGGGCGAGCGUUGUUCGGAAUCACUGGGCUUAAAGGGCACGUAGGCGGUGAAUCGGGUUGAAAGUGAAAGUCGCCAAAAAGUGGCGGAAUGCUCUCGAAACCAAUUCACUUGAGUGAGACAGAGGAGAGUGGAAUUUCGUGUGUAGGGGUUCAAUCCGUAAAUAUACGAAGGAACGCCAAAAGCGAAGGCAGCUCUCUGGGUCCCUACCGACGCUGGGGUGCGAAAGCAUGGGGAGCGAACAGG